rnacentral:rRNA from 1 species
UCAGGCCUAACACAUGCAAGUCGAACGGCUCUUCGGAGCAGUGGCGGACGGGUGAGUAACGCGUGGGAACGUGCCCUUUGGUUCGGAACAACACAGGGAAACUUGUGCUAAUACCGGAUGUGCCCUUCGGGGGAAAGAUUUAUCGCCAUUGGAGCGGCCCGCGUUGGAUUAGCUAGUUGGUGGGGUAAAGGCCCACCAAGGCGACGAUCCAUAGCUGGUCUGAGAGGAUGAUCAGCCACACUGGGACUGAGACACGGCCCAGACUCCUACGGGAGGCAGCAGUAGGGAAUCUUGAACGAUGGGCGAAAGCCUGGCGC